AUGAGCUUCUCCAUACCAUAUACCUAGCAACCCGAAAACAGAGUCCUAGAUUAUUCCCCAAAACGCCACCACCCAAUAAUAUACCUCUACCUGUCUACCGCCAUUACCGCAGCAGCAAGCAGACGCUGCAGACGGCAUCGCCAGGUCCCCCACCGGAGAGUCGAGAGGAGCAGGCGAGCAACACUCCAGUCCAGCAGGCAGCCCGCACUCCGCAACAACCUUUCAUUUUUGUCUCGUGUCAAACUAUCGAUUUUGAGGUUAAGCAAUUAGCAAACCCUUUGUGAAUUGAUAUGGGUUUUGAAUCGGAUGUCUGGAUCGGAGAACAAUUCUCAAUUUCUCAUCUUAAAGUUGAAUCACCGAUUCAUUAGUCAUUACUUCAAAAAUCAGGAAUUAGACUAUUAGAGCAUAAACACCAUUUGUUAGAGGCUAUUACAUUUACGGGAUGGACUGAUGGAGCCUGGAGGCUGGAGGGAUCUGCAAAUAAGUUGUAAUUUAGGAUAAUUCGCUGGUGAUUUCUGUGCUUUAUUUCGAAAGGAUUCCUACUUUCAUGUGGGGAUUAAUUAAUUUCCAUUUAAAUAACAACUCCUAAAAUUAUGGGGCUUUAUUUCAAAUUA